rnacentral:rRNA from 1 species
AUGGCAGUGGUGGACGCCGAGGCUCCCUUUCUCCAGGGCAAGGAGGAGCCGCUGGCCGGAGUCUCCGACUUCCGCGGCCGCCCCGUCUACCGCGCCACCUCUGGCGGUCGGCGCUCCGCCAUCGCCGUGGUGGAGGGCGCCGGCAGUUUCGUCUACUACGGCGUGUCGGCGAACUUGAUCACGUACAUGACAGGGCCGCUCGGCCACUCCAACGCGGAGGCGGCCGCGGCGGUGAACGUCUGGACGGGGACGGCCAGGCUCAUGCCGCUGCUGGGCGCCUUCGUCGCCGACUCCUGGCUGGGGCGCUACUGGUCCAUCAUCCUCGCCUGCACCCUCUACGUCCUGGGUUAUGGCAUGAUCACUCUAGCAUCCACACUCCUGACCCAGCGACCAUCAUCGACCCUCGACAGCGACUCUUCUUCUAACCCUAUGUCGCCGCAGGUGGCCUUCUUUUAUGUCUCCCUCUAUCUCAUUGCCCUCGCACAGGGUGCCGACAAGCCAUGCGGACUUGCAUUUGCCGCCGAUCAAUUCGACGCCGACCACCCCAGGGAGUGUGCCGCCCGUAGCUCCUUCUUCAAUUGGUGGCACUUCUCCAUAGCCAUUGGUAUCGCCGUCGCCAUUAUUGUCGUCAGCUACAUCCAGGAGAAUCUUGGUUGGGGAAUUUGUUUUGGCAUGCUCUGCACCGUCAUGAUUUGUGCCUUUGUCAUCUUCCUCGUUGGUAUUCCCACCUAUCGCCUCCACGCAUCCAUCGUUGGCUCCGGCAGCCCCUUUAUCCGUCUCGGGUGUAGUCUCAUCACGCUUGCCAGAAACUCAGGUUUCUCCUUCCAUGCUAAAAGACACAUGCAUGAAGAUGAAGACGCCACAAGCAACUUGGAGGAGGCUCGCGGCGUCCUAGGGCUACUGCCGAUCUGGGUUGCAUGUCUAGCAUAUGGUGUGGUGUUCGUGCAGAUCACGACACUUUUUAACAAGCAGGACCACACCCUAGAUUGCCAUAUCUUUGGUAGCCUAGAGCUGCCACCGGCCAUGUUGCAAACGUUUUGGCCAGCAUCUGUCUUGUUGUUCGUUCCCUUUUAUGAUUGUGUUCUAGUGCCGGCCCUACGUUGUCUGACGGGCACUUCGUCCGGGCUGACACAACUUCAACGAGUAGGCACAGGCAUGGCCGUGUCACUUGCCGCCAUGUGUGUGGCGGCAUUGGUGGAGACCCAGAGGCUAGAGAUGGCACGUGAGCACAACCUGGUUGAAGACACAGAGGCGACGGUCCCAAUGAGUUGGUCAUGGCUGGUGCCGCAGUACGUGAUGGUCGGGGUGGCGGACGUGUUCAUAAUAGUUGGGAUGCAAGAGUUCUUUUAUGACCAGAUGCCCAGCGAGCUUCGUAGCCUUGGCAUAGCGCUCUACUGCAGUGUGAUUGGCAUCGGUGGCUUCAUCAGCGGCACUCUCAUCUCACUCAUUGACCGCAUCACACGCAAAGGCGGUGGCGAUAGCUGGUUCUCUGACAACCUCAACCGCGCCCACCUCGACUACUUCUAUUGGCUGCUUGCCGGCCUCAGUGCGGCAGAGCUCGCACUCUACAUUUGCUUCGCUAGAGCCUACACCUACAAGGAGAAGAGAGACUUUUGA